CCUACGGGAGGCAGCAGUGGGGAAUAUUGCACAAUGGGGGAAACCCUGAUGCAGCGACGCCGCGUGAGUGAAGAAGUAAUUCGUUAUGUAAAGCUCUAUCAGCAGGGAAGAAAAUGACGGUACCUGAGUAAGAAGCUCCGGCUAACUACGUGCCAGCAGCCGCGGGAAUACGGAGGGGGCAAGCGUUAUCCGGAUUUACUGGGUGUAAAGGGGGCGUAGACGGCAGUGCAAGUCUGGAGUGAAAGGCGGGGGCUCAACCCCCGGACUGCUCUGGAAACUGUACGGCUGGAGUGCAGGAGAGGUAAGUGGAAUUCCUAGUGUAGCGGGGAAAUGCGUAGAUAAUAGGAGGAAAACCAGUGGCGAAGGCGGCUUACUGGACUGUAACUGACGAUGAGGCUCGAAAGCGUGGGGAGCAAACAGGAUUAGAUACCCGGGUAGUC
rnacentral:rRNA from 1 species